rnacentral:rRNA from 1 species
AUUGAACGCUGGCGGCAGGCCUAACACAUGCAAGUCGAGCGGGGUUUUCGGACCUAGCGGCGGACGGGUGAGUAAUGCGUAGGAAGCUGCCCGAUAGAGGGGGAUACCAGUUGGAAACGACUGUUAAUACCGCAUAAUGUCUACGGACCAAAGUGUGGGACCUUCGGGCCACAUGCUAUCGGAUGCGCCUACGUGGGAUUAGCUAGUUGGGGAGGUAAUGGCUCACCAAGGCGACGAUCUCUAGCUGGUUUGAGAGGAUGAUCAGCCACACUGGAACUGAGACACGGUCCAGACUCCUACGGGAGGCAGCAGUGGGGAAUAUUGGACAAUGGGCGCAAGCCUGAUCCAGCCAUGCCGCGUGUGUGAAGAAGGCCUUCGGGUUGUAAAGCACUUUCAGCGAGGAGGAAGGGUGGUGUGUUACUAGCACAUCAUUUUGACGUUACUCGCAGAAGAAGCACCGGCUAACUCUGUGCCAGCCGCCGCGGUAACAC